CCUACGGGCGGCAGCAGUGGGGAAUAUUGCACAAUGGGCGCAAGCCUGAUGCAGCCAUGCCGCGUGUGUGAAGAAGGCCUUCGGGUUGUAAAGCACUUUCAGCGGGGAGGAAGGCGUUAAGGUUAAUAACCUUGGCGAUUGACGUUACCCGCAGAAGAAGCACCGGCUAACUCCGUGCCAGCAGCCGCGGUAAUACGGAGGGUGCAAGCGUUAAUCGGAAUUACUGGGCGUAAAGCGCACGCAGGCGGUCUGUCAAGUCGGAUGUGAAACCCCCGGGCUCAACCUGGGAACUGCAUUCGAAACUGGCAGGCUAGAGUCUUGUAGAGGGGGGUAGAAUUCCAGGUGUAGCGGUGAAAUGCGUAGAGAUCUGGAGGAAUACCGGUGGCGAAGGCGGCCCCCUGGACAAAGACUGACGCUCAGGUGCGAAAGCGUGGGGAGCAAACAGGAUUAGAUACCCUAGUAGUC
rnacentral:rRNA from 1 species